rnacentral:rRNA from 1 species
UACAGAGGGUGCAAGCGUUAAUCGGAAUGACUGGGCGUAAAGCGUGUGUAGGUGGUUAGAUAAGUUAGAUGUGAAAUCCCCGGGCUUAACCUGGGAACUGCGUUUAAAACUGUCUAGCUAGAGUACUGUAGAGGAUAGUGGAAUUUCCAGUGUAGCGGUGAAAUGCGUAGAUAUUGGAAGGAACACCAGUGGCGAAGGCGACUAUCUGGAUAGAUACUGACACUGAGACACGAAAGCGUGGGGAGCAAACAGG